GACGAACCGUGCGACCGUUAUUCGGAAUCACUGGGCUUAAAGCGCGUGUAGGCGGGGAGGCACGUCCGACGUUGAAAUCCCCCGGCUCAACCGGGGAACUGGCGCGGAUAUGACCUUCCUGGAGGGGCGUAGGGGGACCUGGAACUUCCGGUGGAGCGGUGAAAUGCGUUGAGAUCGGAAGGAACGCCCGUGGCGAAAGCGAGGUCCUGGACGCCUACUGACGCUGAGACGCGAAAGCCAGGGGAGCGAACGGG
rnacentral:rRNA from 1 species